AGGAAGGUUUUUGGAUCGUAAACCCCUUUUGUCAAGGAAGAAGCUCUGACGGUACUUGACAAAUAAGCCUCGGCUAACUCCGUGCCAGCAGCCGCGGUAAUACGGAGGAGGCAAGCGUUAUCCGGAAUGAUUGGGCGUAAAGCGUCUGUAGGUGGCCAGCUAAGUCUGCUGUUAAAGAUCACAGCUCAGCUGUGGGAAGGCAGUGGAAACUGGCAAGCUAGAGGUUGGUAGGGGUAAAGGGAAUUCCCGGUGUAGCGGUGAAAUGCGUAGAUAUCGGGAAGAACACCGGUGGCGAAAGCGCUUUACUGGGCCAGACCUGACACUGAAGGACGAAAGCUAGGGGAGCGAAAGGGAUUAGAUACCCCUGUAGU
rnacentral:rRNA from 1 species